rnacentral:rRNA from 1 species
GGAAUCUUAGACAAUGGGCGCAAGCCUGAUCUAGCCAUGCCGCGUGUGUGAUGAAGGCCUUAGGGUCGUAAAGCACUUUCGCCAGGGAUGAUAAUGACAGUACCUGGUAAAGAAACCCCGGCUAACUCCGUGCCAGCAGCCGCGGUAAUACGGAGGGGGUUAGCGUUGUUCGGAAUUACUGGGCGUAAAGCGUACGUAGGCGGAUCAGAAAGUUAGGGGUGAAAUCCCGAGGCUCAACCCCGGAACGGCCUCCAAAACUAUCAGUCUUGAGUUCGAGAGAGGUGGGUGGAAUUGCGAGUGUAGAGGUGAAAUUCGUAGAUAUUCGCAGGAACACCAGUGGCGAAGGCGGCUCACUGGCUCGAUACUGACGCUGAGGUGCGAAAGUGUGGGGAGCA